rnacentral:rRNA from 1 species
GCAAGUCGUGCGAGAAGUAUCUUCGGAUAUGAGUAGAGCGGCGGACGGGUGAGUAACGCGUAGGAAUCUACCUAGUAGAAGGGGAUAGCCCGGGGAAACCCGGAUUAAUACCGUAUACCUCCUUCGGGAGAAAGAAGGCCUCUCUUUGAAGCUUUCGCUAUUAGAUGAGCCUGCGUAAGAUUAGCUUGUUGGUGAGGUAAAGGCUCACCAAGGCGACGAUCUUUAGCUGGUCUGAGAGGACGAUCAGCCACAUUGGGACUGAGACACGGCCCAGACUCCUACGGGAGGCAGCAGUGGGGAAUAUUGGACAAUGGGCGCAAGCCUGAUCCAGCCAUACCGCGUGUGUGAAGAAGGCCUUCGGGUUGUAAAGCACUUUAAGCAGGGAGAAAAAGUUAUAAGUUAAUACCUUAUAACCGUGAUGUUACCUGCAGAAUAAGCACCGGCUAAUUCCGUGCCAGCAGCCGCGGUAAUACGGAAGGUGCAAGCGUUAAUCGGAAUUACUGGGCGUAAAGCGCGCGUAGGUGGUUUGUUAAGUUGGAUGUGAAAGCCCUGGGCUCAACCUAGGAACUGCAUCCAAAACUAACUCACUAGAGUACGAUAGAGGGAGGUAGAAUUCAUAGUGUAGCGGUGGAAUGCGUAGAUAUUAUGAAGAAUACCAGUGGCGAAGGCGGCCUCCUGGAUCUGUACUGACACUGAGGUGCGAAAGCGUGGGUAGCGAACAGGAUUAGAUACCCUGGUAGUCCACGCCGUANACGAUGACAACUAGCUGUUGGAAGACAACGUCUUUCAGUGGCGCAGCUAACGUUUUAAGUUGUCCGCCUGGGGAGUA